rnacentral:rRNA from 1 species
AGAAUCAACGCUGGCGGCGUGCCUAACACAUGCAAGUCGAACGAGAAAGUGGAGCAAUCCAUGAGUAAAGUGGCGCACGGGUGAGUAACACGUGACUAACCUACCCUUGAGUGGGGGAUAACCUAGAGAAAUCUGGGCUAAUACCGCAUAAUACCUUCGGGUCAAAGGAGCAAUUCGCUUAAGGAGGGGGUCGCGGCCGAUUAGUUAGUUGGCGGGGUAAUGGCCCACCAAGACUAUGAUCGGUAUCCGGCCUGAGAGGGCGCACGGACACACUGGAACUGAAACACGGUCCAGACUCCUACGGGAGGCAGCAGUGGGGAAUUUUGCGCAAUGGGGGAAACCCUGACGCAGCAACGCCGCGUGGAGGAUGAAGUCCCUUGGGACGUAAACUCCUUUCGAUCGGGACGAUAAUGACGGUACCGAGAGAAGAAGCCCCGGCUAACGUUCGCGCCAGCAGCCGC